UACAGAGGGGGCAAGCGUUAUUCGGAAUUAUUGGGCGUAAAGGGCGCGUAGGCGGCCUGGCAAGUGGAUGGUGAAAUCCCUCGGCUUAACCGAGGAACUGCCAUCCAGACUGCUUGGCUUGAGACCGGGAGAGGUGAGUGGAAUUCCCAGUGUAGCGGUGAAAUGCGUAGAUAUUGGGAGGAACACCAGUGGCGAAGGCGGCUCACUGGACCGGUACCGACGCUGAGGCGCGAAAGCGUGGGGAGCAAACGGG
rnacentral:rRNA from 1 species